rnacentral:rRNA from 1 species
UACAGAGGGCUCAACCGUUGUUCGGAUUCAUUGGGCGUAAAGGGCGCGUAGGCGGUCGGGUAAGUCGGAUGUGAAAUCCCAGGGCUCAACCCUGGAACUGCAUUCGAUACUGCCUGGCUAGGGUACUGGAGAGGAGACUGGAAUUUACGGUGUAGCAGUGAAAUGCGUAGAUAUCGUAAGGAAGACCAGUGGCGAAGGCGAGUCUCUGGACAGUUACCGACGCUGAGGCACGAAGGUCAGGGGAGCAAACGGG